UUUCAAUACCAACGUGACCCUGAGCUCGGAGGCAGGCAGUGGUGAGCCCCUUUGUCUGUGGCAUCCGGGCCGAUGCUGAAUGUGGAGAAGACAGUCAGUCAGUGGAAACUGGAGCCAGCUUCUGUGACGACGUUCAGGAGUGACAGACCCAGUCACCGCCUCCUGCCCCGGGGCAGGUGGCAGCGUUUGGCAUCUUGGACGAGGGAGGAGGACUAAAACCAAGGCUUACACAAGGCUUCCUGGGACCGCACUAGGUUGGAGCUGGCAGAGGAAGGAGGCCAGGCUGUGCUGUGUACUGAUUACCUAGCCAGCAGAGGGCGGCUCUGGGCGCCGUCUUCUGUUUUCUGGGUGGAGCGAGGAGCUGGGAGGGAGCGUCUCUGUUGCAAUGGGGAGAAGCCGGGCCAGUCUGGAGUCUCAGGACAACAUCUGUGGAGCUCCUUUGCAGAGAGGCCAGAUGUGCAGACAGUCACGCAGCGGUCAUCCAGUGGGUGGGACCAUCAUCUUCAGUGUCCUUAUUUAUACAAUUCAUUUGAGUUAUCCAGGCUACAGAUUGGAUAUGCCUGCUUCUAGAACCUUUCACGUUUCUUCAAGCAGAACUCUGACCCAGGCUGCUGACCCAGAAGAUGAAAUGAGAAAACAGAGGGACAGGAGAGUUCAUCCGGGAUGAAUCCAAGUGGACCGUCAUCAGAGACUCCUCCCUCUCCCAAAGUCUGCCAACAUAGCCUCAGGGAAGUCUUUGGGGUGUAGGGUGGGGGAGAGGAACUUCUUCAGGUGGGCAGAUACCAUGGGUGAGGGGUGACAGCAGGCCUUUCUGUGACCCAGAGCUGAUUGGUCACCUUGCUUUGGGACCAGGGCGUGACCUCCGGCCAACAUCCAAGGGUAAAUGUGUGCCUUCAGACAUUUCUUUCCCAGGAAGUGAUUAGCCAGCCAGACCUGUUGUCCUUCGAGGGGAGCAAAUUACCCAGGCAGAUGUAAUUACCCAUUCCCUCUGUUAUUAGCGCCUGGCUAAGGAGAUUGAAGCAAUCCGCCUCGCUCCCCCAUUUCAAAGCUUACUCACAAGACCGCAUCCCUGAUAUUAAACACAAUGAGACUU